rnacentral:sRNA from 1 species
CGAGGAAUCAAAUUUGGACAGAAAUGACCCAAACAAUGUUGUCUAUGUCAAGGCCAUGUUUGGACUUCAUCUCCUGGCCAAUUUGGUCAUCAGCUUUCUACUGUACGGCCUUGUCUACGUAACUCUCAAGUUUCGAUUGAAAAUUUCCAUCCAGAUGCCAAAAUACGGGCUGGAGUCCGAGAAACUCUUCCUCUUUAAGCCCAAACAUUACAAGCGGCUCAAGACGAACAGUUCAGAGGUCAAAGGGCAUGACACAAGCUCAGAGGACAGUUCACUUCUGAUGACGCAUGAGGGUCAAGCUGUCUAGCCGUGCCACACGUCAGUGACAAUACCACAUGGCUUAUGUCAUCAACUUUCUCUGUCGCUUCAGAACUUAAUUCCACCCACUUUUAAUGGCCACCGGUCAUUGCGAGCUGUUUGACUUGUCAAGUUGAUGUAAACUACGUCAUUCAUCGGUCCGGUUUCAUUGUCAUGUAAUAGACCUCGGACUUGAAGGCGAAUAUUAUAAUUUGUCUUUGGAGCAUUUCUUUAAAAUUCAAACGAUGAAUCGGAAUAAGUUUUAACAAAGUCAUCUACGUCAAAAUUCUGUUGCAGUCUAAAAGAUUUGUUCCAUUUACUUUUAGAAUCAUUUACCUUUUUUUUAGUAUUCUAUUCUUAUUAAGAAAAAUUUAUUUUUAAUCAAAUUCAACACAUUUCGAAUCAAAGUGGAUUUUUCUACUACAGUUUCCAUACAUCAGAUUGAGUGUAAAUUCAUAUUGAAUAUGUGUAAAUUCCUCUUUAAACAAACAAACAAAAAACAACAACAUAAUCUUGGUGACUGUAUGUGAACUUGUCAAAGUUAUUUAAAAUAUUAAAAUGACGCGCAAGGGUCGUAGUCUAUUUUAUUUUUAGCAUAGAAAAUGUAAAACCUAUGAAAUAUGUUAGCAAUGUUAUGACAAAUUUUAUGGACUUAUAUUGGAUUAAAAGUUUGUUUUAAAUAAUUAUUUGUGUUGAAUGCAUUAUAAAUGAGUCCAUCCUGACCUGACUAAAUGACUUUUAAACGCAAAGAAAAUAUGCCACGUAAUGGAAUCCACAUUUAUUGCAAAUACUUUUAGAUUUGAAAGAUAAUUCUAUAUAUAUCAAAACUAUAUUCACAUAAGUAUAUAUGUAUAAUUGCAUAUAUUUAUAUGAUGUGUGUGUGUGUGUAUUUACUUGGUAAAUUGAAACUGUAUCAUCUUGUAUAGCGUAAUCAACUUAAGGGAGGCAACUCAACGAGACAAGAAGGAGAAAGCUCAAUGUUUACUGACGCUGAAGAAUGCUGUGACACAAUGGUCAUAAACAGCGACUGUCAAGCCUUUGGGGUUCACACUUUGUUUGGUUCUUAGUUUCCCCUUCCCUCUUGCCAGACCAUUACUCUGGUAAUCCCUGAUGGUGCAGCAUCAACACAUUGCUCAGUGUCGCUCCAGGUCCACACACUAGUUAUCAGGCAGGACGAAGAAGUCGUCUCUGAUUCCUUCUUAUCGCUUCAGGCAGAUGUCAUCUAGAUCUCUAAGCAGCCAUGUUUUCUCCCGUGUUGAAUAGUGCGCUGUUGUGCACCUUACGCACCACUGCAGUGACAUGGUUAUUAAACUAUUUUAGAAUUGUACAUUUUCUUUGUCACUACCUUGGGGUAGAGUUUUGACACGCAUUUAACUAUAGUGACACUGGUAUACGAUUUUCAAAAGUUGUCAUUUUACGAUAAUAUUUUUUAUUGUGAUUAUUUCAUUUUGUUUGUGACUGUAUAACCUUUUGUCUAUGUUUCUACAUAUCUGAGAAUGUAUUUUUUUUAAUCUGAGUUAAUUGUCCAUUAAAACUCGUGAUAAAAUGUGUUUUUAAA